rnacentral:rRNA from 1 species
CGGGGGUAGAGCACUGUUUCGGCUAGGGGGGCAUCCCGCCUUACCAAACCGAUGCAAACUUCGAAUACCGGGAAGUGCAAUCAUGGGAGACAGACGGCGAGUGCUAACAUCCGUCGUCAAGAGGGAAACAACCCAGACCGCCAGCUAAGGUCCCUAAAACCGGCUAAGUGGGAAACGAAGUGGGAAGGCUAAAACAGUCAGGAUGUUGGCUUAGAAGCAGCCAUCAUUUAAAGAAAGCGUAAUAGCUCACUGGUCGAGUCGGCCUGCGCGGAAGAUGUAACGGGGCUCAAACCAUACACCGAAGCUACGGGUAUCACCUUCGGGUGAUGCGGUAGAGGAGCGUUCUGUAAGUCUGUGAAGGU